UGGGGAAUAUUGGGCAAUGGGCGCAAGCCUGACCCAGCAACGCCGCGUGAGGGAAGAAGGUUUUCGGAUCGUAAACCUCUGUUGCAGGGGACGAGCAGUAGACGGUACCCUGCGAGGAAGCUCCGGCUAACUACGUGCCAGCAGCCGCGGUAAUACGUAGGGAGCAAGCGUUGUCCGGAAUGACUGGGCGUAAAGGGCGCGUAGGUGGUUUUGUAAGUCUGGAGUGAAACCCCCGUUUUCAAGGCGGGGCCUGCUUUGGAGACUGCAGGACUUGAGUGAUGGAGAGGAUAGCGGAAUUCCCGGUGUAGCGGUGAAAUGCGUAGAGAUCGGGAGGAACACCAGUGGCGAAGGCGGCUAUCUGGACAUAGACUGACACUGUGGCGCGAAAGCGUGGGGAGCAAACAGGAUUAGAUACCCUGGUAGU
rnacentral:rRNA from 1 species